GAUUUCUGCCUGAAGAAUCCGACUCCCCCAGUUUGCGAACCAUCACAAAAGAGCUUUAUUCCUCCAGUUGAAGCUGGAAUUUCGAGGUCAUGUCGCUGCCACCUCUACUGCCGAGCUUGCACGAUCCUAGCUCCUUUCCGUCAUGAGGUCAAGCUCUAGGAAGACAAUGCCAGCCUACGGGCUGAGGUAGAGAGGUUAAAAGUCGAGGUCCGGGAUUCCGAUUCACUUCAAGCUUCUCUAAGAAUGCACUUGGAAGACAUGGUCAAUUCGUUACAGGACCGGGAGAAUUCUCUCCGCAUUAUGACUUCCUGAUAUGUAGGUCUUCAGAACAAAGUUGCUAGGCUCGAGGAUGAUUUGAAUAACAUCCGAGGCCAGCUUCUUAGUGUUAAGGUUUCUCGUGACCGUCUUAGAGCCCAAUGUCAAAAAUUACGACUUCGUUCUGAUUUAGCCAUUCUUGAGACAAGGAUGGAUAUGCUCGAAAAGGCAAACACUCUUGAUUUUGAUCUUCCGACGUCACUCCUUGAAGUAGAAAUCGACUUGGAGGCUGCGGAAAUGGCUCUCGAGGACAUCCAGGAUCCUGAGGCGAAUGGACUGGGAAGUGAAGACUUUGGGUCACCACCUGCAUCCUAAAUUGCUCCAGACAAUUAGUCCUUGUACUUGCUCUAAAAUUUUAUACCAGAAUUGUUACUUCUUUUUCAUUUCAGACAUUUGUCAAUUCAUGCUAUGAUUUUAUCAUAUUUUGAUUAUUAAUAUAAGAUCAUGAGCUUG